AGAGGAAGUAAAAGUCGUAACAAGGUCUCCGUUGGUGAACCAGCGGAGGGAUCAUUACUGAGUUUACGCUCUAUAACCCUUUGUGAACAUACCUAUAACUGUUGCUUCGGCGGGUAGGGUCUCCGUGACCCUCCCGGCCUCCCGCCCCCGGGCGGGUCGGCGCCCGCCGGAGGAUAACCAAACUCUGAUUUAACGACGUUUCUUCUGAGUGGUACAAGCAAAUAAUCAAAACUUUUAACAACGGAUCUCUUGGUUCUGGCAUCGAUGAAGAACGCAGCGAAAUGCGAUAAGUAAUGUGAAUUGCAGAAUUCAGUGAAUCAUCGAAUCUUUGAACGCACAUUGCGCCCGCCAGCAUUCUGGCGGGCAUGCCUGUUCGAGCGUCAUUUCAACCCUCAAGCUCUGCUUGGUGUUGGGGCCCUACAGCUGAUGUAGGCCCUCAAAGGUAGUGGCGGACCCUCCCGGAGCCUCCUUUGCGUAGUAACUUUACGUCUCGCACUGGGAUCCGGAGGGACUCUUGCCGUAAAACCCCCAAUUUUCCAAAGGUUGACCUCGGAUCAGGUAGGAAUACCCGCUGAACUUAAGCAUAUCAAUAA
rnacentral:rRNA from 1 species